AUGCCUUGCUAAGGGCAGGCCCUGAAAGGAUUUUGAGCAGGGGAAUGUCUUGCUCAGACAUGGAUUUCAGGUCAGCCUUGAGAGGCAUCUCAGAGGCAAAUGAGGAAAUGGAAGAAGCCUAGGACGACAUGGGAAACCUAACACAAAGAGAGAGACUUCUGUAGCCCUACUGAUCCUGCAUCCAUGAGUAUACACACUCAGAACCCAGCCCCAUCCCACCAGCUCUGGCCACAGAUUGCCCCAUCUCGACAUGAAAGGACAGCUCAGACAUCUGCACCGGGGCCAGAUCAUCUCGGAUUAAAACUGCGUCAACUGCCAAUGGUGAGACAUGCAGCCAACAGGAAAAAGAAUGGAAAGAAAGGCUUUCAAGAAAUCGAUACCUGUUAUCUGAACUGGAUCCACUGUCAAUGAAGAGAAAAGGCAUAAAUGAAUCAUCUUAAAGAUCCUCCGGCUGUGAGUCAUGCUUGACAGUUAAAUUCAAAGCAGAAGGUGAGGACACCCUUUUAUCUUGUUUUAUUUUUAUUCUAGAGAGAAUGCAGGAAACAGAGACUUGAAGGAAAAGGAACUAAGACUUGGUUUAAUAUAAGAAAAGAAAAAGAUAAAAUAAUAAUUAAUUAAAUUACUAUUAAAGGCCAAUGUGAAAGAUCAAAACACCUUUAAAUUUCAAGCAUAAAUUUAUUAAAAUUUAAAUAUAGUCCUAAAUGCAUAUACACCUAAAAGUACAUUUUCAAGGAAAGUAAACUUCACUAGACAGCCCUUUUCAAGAGAGCGCUUAGCACACUCUUAGGGGCAGUAGGCUUCAGGAACAAAUUCAAAAAUCAGUCAUGAUAAGGAAACAAAUUCCAAAUCAGGGCAGAUUCUCAGAAAACAUCUUCAGACCAGGAUGCCCACAGAGGCCCAAGAAGGUAACCCUGCAAACCGCAAAGCUACCUAGAGAACCAGGAGGGAGCAGAAGAGGAGGCACAAUCUCCAUUGUCAACCGAUAUUUGUUGGAGAGAAGAUGCAUGUCUGUCAGCACUUAAUACUGAUGAUGAUAAUAAUGAAGUGAU